rnacentral:sRNA from 1 species
UGUAAGGGUGCAUAUGUAAAUUUUUCUUC